GACGAACGCUGGCGGCGUGCCUAAUACAUGCAGGUAGAACGCACAGUUUAUACCGUAGCUUGCUCCACCAUAGACUGUGAGUUGCGAACGGGUGAGUAACGCGUAGGUAACCUGCCUGGUAGCGGGGGAUAACUAUUGGAAACGAUAGCUAAUACCGCAUAAUAUUAAUUAUUGCAUGAUAAUUAAUUGAAAGGUGCAAUUGCACCACUACCAGAUGGACCUGCGUUGUAUUAGCUAGUAGGUGAGGUAACGGCUCACCUAGGCGACGAUACAUAGCCGACCUGAGAGGGUGAUCGGCCACACUGGGACUGAGACACGGCCCAGACUCCUACGGGAGGCAGCAGUAGGGAAUCUUCGGCAAUGGACGAAAGUCUGACCGAGCAACGCCGCGUGAGUGAAGAAGGUUUUCGGAUCGUAAAGCUCUGUUGUAAGAGAAGAACGGGUGUGAGAGUGGAAAGUUCACACUGUGACGGUAUCUUACCAGAAAGGGACGGCUAACUACGUG
rnacentral:rRNA from 1 species